rnacentral:rRNA from 1 species
CAGCCGCCACGGGAACACGUAGGGUGCGAGCGUUAAUCGGAAUUACUGGGCGUAAAGCGUGCGCAGGCGGUUCGUUAAGACAGAUGUGAAAUCCCCGGGCUUAACCUGGGAAUGGCGCUUGUGACUGCAAAGCUAGAGUGCGGCAGAGGGGGAUGGAAUUCCGCGUGUAGCAGUGAAAUGCGUAGAUAUGCGGAGGAACACCGAUGGCGAAGGCAAUCCCCUGGGCCCGCACUGACGCUCAUGCACGAAAGCGUGGGGAGCAAACAGGAUUAGAUACCCGCGUAGUCCCUGUCUCUUAUAC